GGCAUGCUAUACAUGCAAGUCGAGCGGACAGAAGGGAGCUUGCUCCCGGAUGUUAGCGGCGGACGGGUGAGUAACACGUGGGUAACCUGCCUGUAAGACUGGGAUAACUCCGGGAAACCGGAGCUAAUACCGGAUAGUUCCUUGAACCGCAUGGUUCAAGGAUGAAAGACGGUUUCGGCUGUCACUUACAGAUGGACCCGCGGCGCAUUAGCUAGUUGGUGAGGUAACGGCUCACCAAGGCGACGAUGCGUAGCCGACCUGAGAGGGUGAUCGGCCACACUGGGACUGAGACACGGCCCAGACUCCUACGGGAGGCAGCAGUAGGGAAUCUUCCGCAAUGGACGAAAGUCUGACGGAGCAACGCCGCGUGAGUGAUGAAGGUUUUCGGAUCGUAAAGCUCUGUUGUUAGGGAAGAACAAGUGCAAGAGUAACUGCUUGCACCUUGACGGUACCUAACCAGAAAGCCACGGCUAACUACGUGCCAGCAGCCGCGGUAAUACGUAGGUGGCAAGCGUUGUCCGGAAUUAUUGGGCGUAAAGGGCUCGCAGGCGGUUUCUUAAGUCUGAUGUGAAAGCCCCCGGCUCAACCGGGGAGGGUCAUUGGAAACUGGGAAACUUGAGUGCAGAAGAGGAGAGUGGAAUUCCACGUGUAGCGGUGAAAUGCGUAGAGAUGUGGAGGAACACCAGUGGCGAAGGCGACUCUCUGGUCUGUAACUGACGCUGAGGAGCGAAAGCGUGGGGAGCGAACAGGAUUAGAUACCCUGGUAGUCCACGCCGUAAACGAUGAGUGCUAAGUGUUAGGGGGUUUCCGCCCCUUAGUGCUGCAGCUAACGCAUUAAGCACUCCGCCUGGGGAGUACGGUCGCAAGACUGAAACUCAAAGGAAUUGACGGGGGCCCGCACAAGCGGUGGAGCAUGUGGUUUAAUUCGAAGCAACGCGAAGAACCUUACCAGGUCUUGACAUCCUCUGACAACCCUAGAGAUAGGGCUUUCCCUUCGGGGACAGAGUGACAGGUGGUGCAUGGUUGUCGUCAGCU
rnacentral:rRNA from 1 species